CCAAGACAAAAGUCUCUAUAGUCAUCUGAUAUCAAGUCUCUUCCCAACGGUACAUGGCAGUGAUGAAAUCAAGCGUGGUAUUCUUUUGAUGUUAUUUGGCGGUGUUCCGAAGAAAACAAAGGAAGGUACAAGUCUACGUGGGGAUGUAAAUAUAUGCAUUGUUGGCGAUCCCAGCACGGCCAAAAGUCAGUUUUUAAAAGCGGUUGAGGACUUCAGUCCGCGUGCCGUUUACACGAGUGGAAAGGCAAGUACAGCAGCAGGUCUAACAGCUGCUGUUGUUAAAGA